GUGGCCCAGCUGGGAUGGUCCUGGAGCAUCCGGGGGUGGUGUCCCUAUGGCCACGUGGUGUCCCCGUGGCCGUGCUGAUGUCCCCGCGCCGUGUCCCCAGAGCCUGCUGGUGCUGCUGGACCUGCUGGGCACCCAGCACCCCGCCAUCCACAGCCACUUCCCCCGCACCCACCACUGGUUCCUGCGCCUCGUCGCCAUCGGUGCGCUGCGGGGACACGGGGACGUGGGGACGUGGGGACACGGGGACGGGUGUGGGGUCAGGGCGUGGAUGGGGACAGGGCAUGGACGGGCCCUGCGGAUGUGCAAAGGGCUGGGGACGUGGCGUGGGGACAGGAGGGGUGACAAGGGGCUGGGGACAGGGCGUGGGUGGCACCUGGGGGACGCCCGUGGGUUUGGGGACAAGCAUGUGGUCGGCAUGGGGUGGGGUGACGUGGGGAUGGGGACAGGGUGGGUGCUGGGACACGGGCGGUGGUCGCGAGGAUGGGAAUGGGGACACGGAUGGGACGAGGAGGCUGGGAUGGGGACAAAGAUGGAGACAGGAUGGGGACGGGGGUGUCACAGAGUGCCUUUCCCUGUGUCCCCCCCUGUGUCCCCUUUGUGUCCCCGGUGCACAGAGAAACGACUGCGGAGCCUGGGGCUGCUGCACGCCUCCCCCCAGGACCAGCCCUUUUUCCGGCUCAGCCCAGCCCCGGGGCCCGUCGAGGACGACCACGUCCCCUUCCUGCAACGUGGUAACGUCCCCGUGUCCCCGUGUCCCCAUGCUGCAGUGUCCCCAAGUCCCCACCGAGCGCCGUGUCGCCUUGCAGGGAGCGGGGACCACCGUGGCUCAGCCCCGCUGUGUCCCCCCGUGUCCCCGCAGGCGUCCCCGUGCUGCAUCUCAUCCCCAUGCCCUUCCCCUGGGUCUGGCACACCACCGAGGACAACGAGGACAACCUCCACCUGCCCACCGUGGAGGACCUCUGCAAGAUCCUCGCCGCCUUCGUGGCCGAGUUCCUGCAGCUCUGAGCCACCCGGACACCCCGACACCCUCCGGCCUGAGCCCCCCCGGGGCGUCGGGGCAGCCCCUGGCUGCGCUGGGAGCCCCCACUAAUAAAAUCCUCGGUGCCUGGCGUCGUGUCCUGCGCUGUCACCCACCCCUGGGGACACCCACGGGGACGCGGUUCGGAACAGGCUCGCUGGGUGGACCAGACCUCCAAAAGUCCCAUCCGGACCCCAAAGCGCUGCCGGAUGCUUCGUCGUGGAGGUCCUCCUCGUUUUAA
rnacentral:lncRNA from 1 species